CAAGCGGAAAACACAUCAGUCCAAACGCACCAGUUGGAUCUACGCACAACGAAGCAACAGCAAUGUCAGGAUCAGUCGAUUGGGUCUGAUGAGCAUCUAAAAACUAUGAAAAUGAGCCGGUAUAUACAUGUAGGAUAGGAGAUUUAGUGAGUUUUACCUAUGUCUCUCGAUGUGAUAUCCCUCCCAGCUGCUGUCGCAGGGCGAGACAAGAAAGCGGAGGAUAUCAACCGAAGAGCUACAAACCAGAGAGCAUGUGUGUUCUUCUUGACAAGUGCCAUGGCGAGUGGUUAAUUUGCUACUCUCUUCGAUAUCCCGUUGUUGUCAUCUGCCGUGUUACAUAGAGGCAUUGCAAUGCGUGCCCUUAGUUUUAUCCUUUUCUGCAUUAGUAUCUUUUUCCUGGCCCCCAUAUACUUAAUUUUAUCUUUUUCUACAAGUUUCCUUUUUCCAGUCCUUCUUAUACUUAACUUUAUCCUUUCCAGCAUUAGUUUCCUUUUUCUUGUCCUCCGUAUACUUAAUUUUAUCUUUUUCUGCAAGUUUCCUUUGUCCUGGUUUUCUUAUACUUAACUGUAUCCUUUCCUGCAUUAGUUUUCUUUUUCUUGGCCUCCGUAUAUUUAAUUUUAUCUUUUUCUGCAAGUUUUCUUUUCCUGGCCUUUGUAUACUUAACUUUAUCAUUUCCUGCAUUAGUUUCCUUUUUUCUGGCCUCCGUAAUUUCGUAUACUACUUAAUUUUAUCCUUUUAUGCAUUAGUUUUCUUUUUCAUGGCCUGCGUAUACUUAGUUUUAUCCUUUUCUGCAUUAGUUUCCUUUUUCAUGGCCUCCGUAUACUUUAGCUGGAGGGUUAACCAAUAUCCUUGCAUAACGAAAAGAUAUUGUACUCCCUAUGUCUGAAAAUAAGUGACGUGGAUUUGUAUAAGAAUCUAUACAAAUUCA
rnacentral:lncRNA from 1 species